UAACUUCGGAUUAGGUAGGAAUACUUACUAAAUUUAAAUAUAUUAAUAAGUAGAGGAAAAAAAACUAAUAGGGAUUGCCCUAGUAAUAGCGAGUGAAGUAGUAAUAAUUUAAAUUUAAAAUCUAGUUUCGGCCCGAAUUAUAAUUUAUAGAAGAAGCUUUUAGUAAAGUACCUUCUAAAUCCCUUAGAAUGGAGCGCUAUAGAGGGUGAGAGCCCUAUAUAGUUGGAUAUUAAUUUAAUAUAAAGCUCCUUCGACGAAUUAAGUAAUUUAGGAAUACUAUUUAAAAUAGGAAGUAAAUUUCUUCUAAAAUUAAAUAUUGGUUAAAGACCGAUAGUGUAUAAGUAAAGUAAUCGAAAGAUAAAAAGUACUUUGAAAAGAGGGUUAAAUAAUAUAUAAAAUUAUUAAAAGGGAAACGUUUAUAAUUAGACUUACGCUAUUCUAAUUAUUUAGUAUUUUUAUUAGUAUAUUUAGGAUAGUUCAAAUUAAUAUUGGUUUUAGUAGAGGGAUAAAGGUCCGGGGAAUAUAGCUCCUCUAAGAGUAUUAUAGCCCCGGGUGUAAUACCCUCGCUAAGAUUGAAGUUUGUAUAUUUAUAAGGAUACUAAUAUAAUAGUUAUUAAUAACCUGUUUUAAAAUAUAAAUUAAGGAGUUAAGGUUUUAUAUAAAUAUUUAGGUAUAAAACCUGUAUAUAUAAUAAAAGUAAAUAUAAGUAAAAGUUUUAAUAUAUUAUCGACUAAUUUUAAUAUAUUCGGAUAAAUUUAAAUAAAAAUAUUAAACUUUAAACCUGAAAGAUAGUGAAUUAUAUUUAAAUAGGGUAAAGCUAAAGGAAAUUCUAGUAGAGGCUCGUAGCGGUUUUAAUAUAUAAAUUGAUCGUUAAAUUUAAAUAUAGGGGCGAAAAAUUAAUUAAAUUAUUUAAUAGCUAAUUACCGCCGAAAUUUCCCUUAGGAUAGUAAUAUUAUUUUUCAAUUUUAUAAAAUAAAGUAAAUAAUUAAGGAUUCGGGGGCGUUUUUUAACUUUUAUCUAUUUUCAAACUUUAAAUAUAUAAAAAGCUCUUAUUAUUUAAUUGAAUAUAGGUAUUCGAAUAUAUUAAUAUUAGUAGGCUAUUUUUAAUAAAUAGAAUUAGCGAUGUAAGAUAAACCGAAUGUAGGGUUAAGGUAUUGGAAUAGACGCUUAUUAAAUACUAUAAAAGGCGUUAGUAUAUUUUAAUAGUAAGAUAAUAGCUAUAGAAGUUGGAAUUUACUAAGGACUAUAUAAUAAUUUACUUGCCGAAUAUAUUAGCCCUAAAAAUAGAUAGCGUUUAAACGUCCUACUUAUACCCCGCUUUUAGGGUAAAAAUAAUACUUUAAAGAGUAAGCGGCUAUAAAGGUUAGUAACGAAGUUUAGGGUAUAAAUCCGGGUUAAACGGCCUCUAAUACAAAUUUUAGUAGUAAUAGUAAAUACUUUAAUAAGAAUUUGAAGGACCGAAGUAGGGAAAAGUUCUAUAUAAAUAAUAAUUGGAUAUAGGUUAAUUGAUUUUAAACUAUAGGGAAAUUCUAUUUUAAAGGGGUAUUUAUACUCUGUAUAGCGAAAGGGAAGCCGGUUAAUAUUCUAGUACUUAAAUAUAGGUUUUAUAUAAUAAUGCAACUAAAUAUAAAAACGAUAGCGGGGACCCCGGGUAGAGUUUUCUUUUUUUUUUAAUAGUUUAUUACCCUAAAAAUAAUUUAUUUGGAGAUAGGGUUUAAUAGUUGGAAGAGCCUAAUACUUCUAUUGGAUUUAGUAUACUUUCAACGUCCCUUAAAAAUCCGUAAGAGGGAAUAAUUCUUACGCUAAGUUAUACUUAUAACUAUAGUAAAUCUCCAAAAUAAAUAGCCUCUAAUUAAUAGAAUAAUAUAAAUAAGGGAAAUCGGUAAAAUAGAUCUAUAAUUUUAGGAAAAGGAUUAAUUCUAAGGGUUAAAUACGUCGGAUUUUAAGUAAACGCCCUAGGAGUAGAUUGCUAUUAACUAAAUAACCGGCCGGCGGCUUUUAAUAUCCGGGUACAAAAGCCCUUAGCAAACUUCGGUCGUCCGGCGUAUAUUUAAUAACUAAUUUAGAACUAGUAUAAAUAAAGAGAAUUUAAUUAUUUAAUUAAAAUAUAGUAUUAUAAUAGCCAAAAAGUAGUAUUAACGCAAUAUAAUUUCUAUUUAAUAUUCUAAAUAUUAAAAUAAAGAAAUUUAAUUAAGUGCGGGUAAAUGGCGGGAGUAACUAUAACUCUCUUAAAGUAACUAAAUACUUUAUUAUUUAAUUAGUAAUAUAUAUAAAUAAAUUAAUAAAAUUCCUACUAUCCCUAUUUAUUAUCUAGCGAAACUAUAGCCAAAGGAACGGGCUUAGUAAAAUUAGUAGGGAAAAAAGACCCUAUUAAAUUUAAUUCUAAUUUAAUAUUAUAAAAAGAUAUAGGAGGUAUAGAAUAAGUAGGAACUUCGGCGCUAGUAAAAUACUACUACUCCUAUUAUUUUUUUAUUUAUUUAAUUAAGCGGGGUUAGAUUUUUAUUUAAUUUUUAAUUUUAAAGUCCUUUGUAGGCCAACCCGGAUUAAAGAUAUUAUUAAAUAGAGAAUUUAGUUAGGACGGUAUAUUUAUUAAACUAUAAUGUAAGUAUUUUAAGGGGGGCUUAUAGAGAAUAAAAAUCUUUAAUAGAAUAAAAAGGUAAAAAUCCCUUUAAUUUUAAUUUUUAAUAUAAAUACAAACUAUAAAAGUAUAGCUUAUCGAUCCUUUAGUCCCUCGAAAUUUAAAAUUAAAAGUACUAAAAAAGUUACUAUAGGAAUAAUUAAUUUAUAGCGGCCAAAUAUUUAUAGCGAUAUCGCUUUUUAAUCCUUCGAUAUCGGCUCUUCCUAUUAUACCGAAGUAGAAUUCGGUAAGUAUUAGAUUGUUUACCUAUUAAUAGGGAAUGUAAAUUGGGUUUAAAUUAUUAUAAAAUAAAUUAGUUUUACCCUACUAAUAACUUUAUUAUAAUAAUAAUUAAAUUUAAUAUAAAAGGAACUACUUAUUUAAAUAAUUAGUUUUUAUAGUUAUCCGACCGGGUAAUACUGCAACGCUACUAUCUACUAAAUAAUAGUUAAAUGCUUCUAAAUCAAAAUCUAUACUAAAAUGCAAUAAUACUUCUAAUAUAUUAUAAAUAUAUAAAAAUAGGUUCCGGCCUUGUAUUUUAGUAGGCGAUUCCUCUAUUAGCUUUAAAGUAGCUAGUAGUAAUUCGCGUAUUAUAAUUUUAAUACGCGCUAGAUUAAAUUUUUUAUAAAUAAUUUAAAUAUAUAAAAGGGUCCUAUAAGUAAUAGAAUAACCUUAUUAUUACAAUCUACUAAGGGUAAACUUUCCUUCACUUAAAUUUCU
rfam:Neurospora crassa OR74A unplaced genomic scaffold supercont12.12, whole genome shotgun sequence.